CUUCCUCAUUCACUUUCUUCUCUUCUUUCCUUUAUAUCACUUCCUCUCUCUUUGUCAUCUACUUUUGUUCUAAUAACUUUAACUUCUUCAUUUAUUUCCAUCAUUCUUCUUCAAUCCAUUAGUAGAUGAUUCAUCCCUUUCUUUUUCGAAAAUAUGAAGAAUGAGUUAGGAUUUCAAAAGAAUAAAAAUUGCUGAGAAUGAAUAUGUGUGGUUUUGGUUAGAUUUCACUUAUUGGUAUGCCUUUGUUUUUCACAUGUGAUGUCUUUUGGAAACUCUACUUAUUGUUUAAUGAAAAGGCACCAUGGUUGAUCAGCACCCUACAAUCAUGGAGAAGGUUAUUGGUCAGAUCCACCACCGAUCUGGUUUCUCGAGUUAUGAUGGAUCUUCCUUCAAUCGUCGAUGAGGGUUUGGUUGCUCUAUAGAGAGGAAACACCACCAAUGUCAUUUGUUAUUUCCCCACUAAGGCAUUAAACUUUGCAUUCAAAGAUUACUUCAAGAGGCUUUUCAACUUCAAGAAGGACGAAAAGGAUUACUAGAUGUGGUUUUCUAGCAACUUGGCAAGGCCAAAGUCACUUUUGAGCUUAAGAAACAGGGAAAAUAUCGUAGCUGUAAUCGGUUAACGUCUGCAUGUAAUCGGUUACCACUGGAAGUUAUUUAAUUACAAGCACGAGUUUUUUAGUUUUCUGUUAUUUGGCUUAUGUUAUUUGAGUCCCAAUCACUAUGUAAUAAUUGUAUAAAUGUCUUGGAGGCAUCCUCAUAAAAAAAUAAUGAAA